AAAUGACUCUCGGCAACGGAUAUCUCGGCUCUUGCAUCGAUGAAGAACGUAGCGAAAUGCGAUACUUGGUGUGAAUUGCAGAAUCCCGUGAACCAUCGAGUCUUUGAACGCAAGUUGCGCCUGAAGCCAUUAGGCCAAGGGCACGCCUGCCUGGGUGUCGCA
rnacentral:rRNA from 3 species